rnacentral:misc_RNA from 1 species
AAUUUGCGUUAGGGAUUGAAGCGGAUACAGGCCUGGAGCGUAAUGCCUGCAGGCGUAUGAGCGUAAAGCCCGGCCGCAG